rnacentral:rRNA from 1 species
AUAUUUUAAUCGCAUGGUUAAGAUAUCAAAGCUCCGGCGGUACAGGAUGGACCCGCGUCUGAUUAGCUAGUUGGUGAGGUAAUGGCUCACCAAGGCAACGAUCAGUAGCCGUCCUGAGAGAAAGAUCGGCCACACUGGAACUGAGACACGGUCCAGACUCCGACGGGAGGCAGCAGUGGGGAAUAUUUCAAAGGGGGCGAAAGCCUGAUGCAGCAACGCCGCGUGAGCGAUGAAGGCCUUCGGGUCGUAAAGGUC